UCUGAAGAUGCCCUCAAACCACAUAAAUGAUCCUACAGGCCUCUCAGCAAGUUUCGUACUCGUCUGACUAUAAGGAUCCUUGCUUUGAGAAUAGCAGUAGGGGUCCCAGCUACUGUCAGACAAUGUGCAGUGAUUGAUUGGUUCCAUGACCCGAGUGCUCCCUUCCAACCACAGCACAUGGAAAGGCAAGGAGGGUUUUCACUUAGGUAGUCCUCCCAGAUAAUAGAGGGAGCACCCACUGGUCUACUCCACUGACAAGCAACAAUCUCAAGAUCACAGUCUUGAUGUCAGAGGUGCCUCGGGCUGGAAGGCAAAGUUCAGCUUUCCUCUUAAGGGACACGUUCUCCUGCCUAGGUCCAAUGUACUGGAUUCUCUCAUGUCCUGAAAGAAACCUCAGGGAUCAUCCAUUAAGAUCCCUUCUUCAGAUGGAAAGUGAAACACAGAGAGAGGAGUUGACUAGUUCAGUGUCAGAUGACGUAUUGAGUCACAGAUCCAGGGUUAAAAUCCUUGAUUCCUGUC